AACGUAGGGGACAAGCGUUAUCCGGAUUUACUGGGCGUAAAGCGCCCGUAGGCGGCUGAUUAAGUUGGACGUGAAAGCUCCUGGCUUAACUGGGAGAGGCCGUUCAAAACUAGUCGGCUAGAGUGAGACAGAGGAGCGUGGAAUUCCCGGUGUAGUGGUGGAAUGCGUAGAGAUCGGGAGGAACACCAGUGGCGAAAGCGGCGCUCUGGGUCUCAACUGACGCUGAGGGGCGAAAGCGUGGGGAGCGAACGGG
rnacentral:rRNA from 1 species